AGUGAACGCUGGCGGUAGGCCUAACACAUGCAAGUCGAACGGCAGCACAGUAAGAGCUUGCUCUUACGGGUGGCGAGUGGCGGACGGGUGAGGAAUACAUCGGAAUCUACUUUUUCGUGGGGGAUAACGUAGGGAAACUUACGUUAAUACCGCAUACGACCUACGGGUGAAAGUAGGGGAUCUUCGGACCUUGCGCGAUUGAAUGAGCCGAUGUCGGAUUAGCUAGUUGGCGGGGUAAAGGCCCACCAAGGCGACGAUCCGUAGCUGGUCUGAGAGGAUGAUCAGCCACACUGGAACUGAGACACGGUCCAGACUCCUACGGGAGGCAGCAGUGGGGAAUAUUGGACAAUGGGCGCAAGCCUGAUCCAGCCAUACCGCGUGGGUGAAGAAGGCCUUCGGGUUGUAAAGCCCUUUUGUUGGGAAAGAAAAGCAGCAGGUUAAUACCCCGCUGUUCUGACGGUACCCAAAGAAUAAGCACCGGCUAACUUCGUG
rnacentral:rRNA from 1 species